UGGGGAAUAUUGCACAAUGGACGGAAGUUUGAUGCAGCGACGCCGCGUGGAGGGUGUAGGCUUUCGGGUUGUGAAUUCCUUUUUCUCGCGAAAAAGGCACAGUUUUGGCUGCGUUGAUGGUAGCGGGGGAAGAAGCGCCGGCUAACUAUGUGUCAGCAGCCGCGGUAAUACGUAGGGCGCGAGCGUUGUCCGGAUUUAUUGGGCGUAAAGAGCUCGUAGGUGGUUCGUCGCGUCUGUCGUGAAAGCCAGCAGCUUAACUGUUGGUCUGCGGAGGGUAAGGGCGGGCUUGAGUGCGGUGGGGGGGACUGGAAUUCCUGGUGUGGCGGUGGAAAGCGCAGAUAUCAGGAGGAACACCGAUGGCGAAAGCAGGUCACUGGGCCGUUACUGACACUGAGGAGCGAAAGCGUGGGGAGCGAACAGG
rnacentral:rRNA from 1 species